GACGAACGCUGGCGGCGUGCCUAAUACAUGCAAGUCGAGCGAAAAGACGAGGAGCUUGCUCCUCUGUCGAUAGCGGCGGACGGGUGAGAAACACGUGGAUAACCUACCUAUAAGACUGGGAUAACUACGGGACACCGGAGCUAAUACCGGAUAAUAUAUUGCACCAUAUGGUUCAAUAGUGAAAGACGGUUUUGCUGUCACUUAUCGAUGCAUACCGGCCGCAUUAGCUAGUUGUUAAGGUAAAGGCUUACCAAGGCAACUAUGCGUAGCCGACGUGUGAGGGUGGUCGGCCACAUUGGAACGUGGACAGGGACCAGGCGCCUAAGGGACGCAGCAGUAGGGAAUCGUCCGCAAUGGGCGAAAGCCUGACGGAGCAGCGCCGAGUGUGUGAUGAAGGUCUUCGGAUCGUAAAACUCUGUUAUUAGGGAAGAACAAAUGUGGAAGUAACUAUGCACGUCGUGACGGUACCUAAUCAGAAAGCCACGGCUAACUACGUG
rnacentral:rRNA from 1 species